GAGAAUCAACUUGACCACACUGGAAAUAAGUGUAAAUGCUUAUGUAAUCGUCUUAAUGAUUCAAAUUCUAAUGAUAAUGAUGAACGAGGCAAAUUGAUUGAUUCUAUUUGUUUGGAUCCCGUUUCAGUAGAUAAAGAUCAUGUCGUAACUGGUGUUAGAUUUAAAAUACAUGAUAAUGUAAUCUACUUGGAGCUUCAACAAGGUAAACUGAUCAACUAUCGAAUUGUUUCGAAACCGGAGUGGAAAAUUUCAUACCAUUGUGAAGAAAAAAAAUACAUUGAUUAUACUCCCAAUCUACCAACGAACGAACUUUUCAGCAUUUUAGCAGAAGAUUUUGUCCUUUCCGAAGAUGCUGUUGUUACAGGUGUGACACUAGGUAACUCAAUACGCGGAAGAUACAUCAAUGACAAUGGAAAUUUUGAUGCAAAAAGAGACGAAUUUGAAAUCGUCUCUAAAUAUGAGAAUAUGUAAUUAUAAUAUUAAUUACGGAAAAUU
rnacentral:lncRNA from 1 species